UCUGCACAGGGAGGGAGAACACAGAAAUCAAACCGCACUGCUGCAAACCUGGGGCCUCUUCAGUGGCUGUGCUUACACCCUUCAAACACUCAUCAGUUCUUUGGGUGGCUCUUAACCCCUCAAAAAGCCCCAACCUAAUGUCAAAUUCCCAUCAAAAUACUAAUGUGUCCUGCACAUUCACUUCCCCUAUUAUUAUCAACUCAAUUCCUUUUCUUCCCCUAGGAGUCAAUUCAUAGUCAUGAAUAUAUUUGUUUCUUUGCAAUGUAACUCAAGCAAGCUGCAGCUUACAACAAAUAAGCUACAGAGCUUACUAUGUUCUGCAAUAAUAACAACAGAGUUUUAGGGCAAAAAACUUCAUGCAGGAUUCCUCUCCUACAAAAAUCAGCAAAUUAAACAAAUCAGACUCAGUUCAAAUUUGCAUUUUAAGUAAUCCUGACAGACUCCACCCUGAAAUUAAACUAUGGGGAGGUAAUCUCCUUUCAGGGUGUGGUCACAUCCUUAACUAACCACAACCUUGGAAUCCUCCUCUGGAGAGAAUGCUGCCAGCUGCUGGCUCUGUACACUCAGCCCAGAUGGUUCAGUGUGGAAGCAGACACGGACAACCCUGGAGCCUGUGGGGAAUCUGCUCACCUCAGUGCAUGAACACAAGGAAACCUCCUGUGCUCUUCCACAAUGUUUAAGUUUCAUUAAUAAUCUGGAGUCUGUGAAGCAGGCCCACUGGCUGUACUGGCCAUGAUCCUGCAAUAGGAGCACUGCUAACCAAGAUGCGGCAGAAUGUGCUAAGAAUGUACAAGUGAGUCAUCCCUCAAGGAUGCAAAGGUAGGUACCACAUGCAGAGAGAACCUUAUGUUUAUGCUUUAAAAAAAAAAA